GGACGGGUGAGUAACACGUGGAUAACCUACCUAUAAGACUGGGAUAACUUCGGGAAACCGGAGCUAAUACCGGAUAAUAUAUUGAACCGCAUGGUUCAAUAGUGAAAGACGGUUUUGCUGUCACUUAUAGAUGGAUCCGCGCCGCAUUAGCUAGUUGGUAAGGUAACGGAUUACCAAGGCAACGAUGCGUAGCCGACCUGAGAGGGUGAUCGGCCACACUGGAACUGAGACACGGUCCAG
rnacentral:rRNA from 1 species